rnacentral:rRNA from 1 species
GACGUAGGGCGCGAGCGUUGUCCGGAUUUAUUGGGCGUAAAGAGCUCGUAGGCGGCUUGUCGCGUCGACUGUGAAAUCCCGCGGCUCAACUGCGGGUCUGCAGUCGAUACGGGCAGGCUAGAGUUCGGUAGGGGAGACUAGAAUUCCUGGUGUAGCGGUGAAAUGCGCAGAUAUCAGGAGGAACACCGGUGGCGAAGGCGGGUCUCUGGGCCGAUACUGACGCUGAGGAGCGAAAGCGUGGGGAGCGAACAGG